rnacentral:misc_RNA from 1 species
AUACGCGUCCACACGUGUAUACACCCCGUCUCGUCUACCAUUUCUCUCUCUGCGAGUGUGUGCACACCGCCUCGGAUCAGCCGCACCUGCCGCUGUCGCAUGCACACACACGCAGACUCCCAUAGAAAUCGUAGCUUGCCUCUGUUCAUUGCCGUGCGCACGCGCUCCUUUUGGAUUUGAUUGCCUUCCGUGCCUUUCACGCAGCGCUUGUUCCUCGCAGCACAUCACUGCGCGCCGUCCCCAUCCCCUUCCAUCCCCGCCCCGCUCGCUGCAUCAUCGUUAACGCUUCGCAGCUCGCAGCCCUUUCAGCAGCGCCUCCCGUUCAUCUGGGAGCCUGUGCGCGUGCACCCAGUCGUCGGGUGCUGUCCCUCUCUCGGUGGUCACCGUCGUCGUCUCCCCUUCCCCUCCCUGAUGUGCGGCAUCUUGGGCUACGCCAACAGCAACGUGCCGCGCACGGUGGAGCAGAUCUUAGACAUUCUGCUCUGCUGCAUUCAGAAGGUGGAGUACCGCGGCUACGACAGCGCAGGCCUCGCCAUCGACGCAAACAUCGGCAGCGGCAAGGAGGACGGCACCGCCGCCAGUGCGCCGACGCCGCGUCCUUGUGUGGUGCGCAGCGUCGGCAACAUCAACCAGCUUCGCGAGAAGGUGUUCAGCGAGGCGGUCGCCGCUACGCUGCCACCGAUGGACGCCACGACGAGCCACCACGUCGGCAUUGUGCACACACGGUGGGCCACGCACGGUGGUGUGUGCGAGCGCAACUGCCACCCACAGCAGAGCAACAACGGCGAGUUCACCAUUGUGCAUAACGGCAUCGUCACGAACUACUCCGCGCUGAAGGAGCUUCUCAAGGGGGAGGGGUACGUCUUCUACUCCGACACCGACACGGAGGUCAUUAGCGUCCUCUCCGAGUACCUCUACACGCGCAAGGGGGUCCACAAUUUCGCCGACCUGCUGCUGGAGCUGUCAAACAUGGUGGAGGGCAGUUACGCGUUGCUUGUCAAGAGCGUCUACUUUCCUGGUCAGGUGGCGGCGAGCCGCCAGGGGUCGCCGCUGAUGGUCGGCAUCCGGCAUACAGACAAUCGCGGCUCCGUGAUGAAGCUGCAGACGUACGACUUCACCGACCCAUCGGGGCCCCUCGAGGUCUUCUUCUCCUCCGACCCGAACGCGUUCGCUGAGUACACGCGCGAUGUUGUGUACCUCGAGGACAACGACAUUGUUCACUACUGCGACGGCGCACUGCGCUUCUACAACGCAGCGGAGCGCCAGAGGUCAAUCAUCAAGCGCGAGGUGCAGCACCUGGAGACGAAGCUGGAGAGCCUGUCCAAGGGCAACUACGCGCACUUCAUGCUAAAGGAGAUCUACGAUCAGGCAGAGUCCGUCAUCAGCUCCAUGCACGGCCGCAUCGACUUCAGCAGCGGGACAGUGCAGCUCGGCGGCUUCACCCAGCAGAGCAUUCGCGCCAUUCUCACCAGUCGCCGCAUCCUCUUCAUCGCGUGCGGCUCCUCGCUCAACAGCUGCAUCGCUGUGCGGCCGCUCUUCGAGGAGCUCGUGCCGCUGCCGAUCUCCGUCGAGAAUGCCUCCGACUUCAUUGACCGCAGACCACAGAUGCAGCGGAACGACACGUGCUUCUUCAUCUCGCAGUCCGGCGAGACGGCUGACACGCUCAUGGCGCUGAAGCUGUGUAGCGAGGCUGGCGCGAUGUGCAUCGGCAUCACGAACGUCGUUGAAUCCAGCAUCAGCCGGCUGACGCACUGCGGCAUCCAUCUGAAGGCUGGCGUCGAGGUCGGUGUGGCGUCAACAAAGGCAUACACGUCACAGGUGAUCGUGAUGACGCUGGUGGCGCUGUUGCUCAGCAGCGACUCGGUGUGGCUGCAGGAGCGCCGCAACGAGAUCUUGCGCGGUCUGUCCGAGGUGUCAGCAAAGAUCGCCGAGGUGCUUAGGAUCACACACGACCCCGUGAAGGCGCUGGCGGCGCGGCUGAAGGAGAGCCACUCUGUUAUUGUACUCGGCCGCGGCUACGACCUGGCUACCGCGAUGGAGGCUGCGCUGAAGGUGAAGGAGCUGAGCUACGUUCACGCGGAAGGCAUCCACAGCGGCGAGCUCAAGCAUGGGCCGCUCGCGCUGAUUGAUGAGACGGUGCCGGUGCUGGCGAUGUGCACCAAUGACAAGCACUUCGGCUUGAGCAAGGCAGCGGUGCAGCAGGUGAACGCUCGCAACGGCGCCGUCGUUGUUUUCGCGACUGGGGUAGACGCUGAGCUAAAGGCGGCCGCGAGCGAGAUCGUCCUCGUUCCAAAGACGGUGGACUGUCUUCAGUGUGUCAUUAACGUUAUUCCGUUUCAGUUGCUGGCCUACUACAUGGCGCUGCUGCGCGGCAAUAACGUGGACUGCCCGCGCAACCUGGCCAAGAGCGUCACCGUGCAGUAGUACCGCAUGUAUGCUCGCACGCGCGUGUGUGCGUGUGGGUGUGCCGAGUACUGAGGCUGAGAGGAUACGGCGUGAGGCUGUCGCUCGCGCUGCUUUCCGUGUAUUGUGGCACACUGCAUGUGGGCGCGUGUGUGUGUCUCCGUGCGCAUUGCCACAUCUCCUCUUCCGCCCCACUCCCGCCCCUCCCUCUGUGACACCGGCAGCUCCUUCGCGGCUGUCGGCUCUGUUUCAAGUGCCGUCCUUUUCGUCUUGUGCUGACGCUGAUGUGCAUCAUUUCUUGGCCACCCUUUCUCUCUUCCGUCCUCCCAUACGCGCUUGUCUGUGCGCUUGCCGCGGGCUGUUCCGUGCCCCUACCCCCUCCUCUCAUCCUUCCCCUCUCUUCUUUCUCGCCCCCGCCAACGACAACAACACCCCCAUCCCCAUCCCCACACUCACCUCCCAAGAGGAGUGUGCGAUGCGUUGUGCGGGCGCAUGUGAUGAGGCGGAUGGGCCGAUACGCGUACGCGUGUUUUCGAGUGAAACCAAAGACGCGAGCGAAGGAAGAGUGAGAGCCGCGAGCGGUACGCGUGCGCGUGAAGGGGAAGGGCAGCGCGCGUGGCGUGGAAGGCCCCGUGGCUGGCUGCCCGUCUGCUCGUCGUCCUCAUCUUCUGCGCGUGCGGGUGUCUCUGCCGCCUACUCUCUUUGCUUCGCUUCUCCGCUCCUGCGAUGUCUCUCCUUUUUAGUGUGUGUGCGUGUGUGCGUUGUGUCGGCUGUGUCGGCCACCACCACCACCACCACCACUCUCCCCCUCCCCCCAUCUCCCUCUCCGUUGCCUGCGCCCCUCACUUGAGCGAUGUUUUCUCAGCGGAGGGGGGAGGGAGGGGCGACUCUUCGCGUGCGCGUACGAGUCGAGCGUGCGACGAAACC